UACGGAGGGUGCAAGCGUUGUUCGGAAUCACUGGGCGUAAAGGGCGUGUAGGCGGCCUGCUAAGUCUGAUGUGAAAUCCCCCCGCUCAACGAGGGAACUGCGUCGGAAACUGGCAGGCUCGAGUACCGGAGAGGAAGGUGGAAUUCCCGGUGUAGCGGUGAAAUUCGUAGAUAUCGAGAGGAACACCGGUGGCGAAGGCGGCCUUCUGGACAGUGACUGACGCUGAGACGCGAAAGCGUGGGGAGCAAACAGG
rnacentral:rRNA from 1 species